UUUUUUCUCCAUUCUUAUUUCUUCAUUUUCUUUCUUUCAAUUAUGAUGAUCAAGAAAAAAAAAUAUUUUUCUAUUAACAAAUAGAAGAAUCAAAGAAAAAAGGGAAAAGAAUCGAAGAAGAAAAAAUGAAAAAUCAAAGAAAAAAAAGAAGAAGAAUCGAAAAAAAAAAUGAAUCGAAAGACAAUUAAAAUAAAAGAAGAAAAAGAAGAAAAAGAAGAAACAAAAAAAGAAAAAGAAGAAGAAGAAGAAGAAAAACAAAGAAAAAGAAUCAAAGAAGAAAAAGUCGAAUAAGAAGAAGAAUCGAAAAAUAAGAAGUAGAAAAAGAAAAGGAAGAACAAGAUGAAUCGAAGGACAUGAUAGUACCUUUACGGAAUCUUCACUGUUUCUACCUCGUCAACCCGCACUAUCAUGUCCUAGACAUAAAAGUACAUAGACCAUUCCUUGCAGUGCUGCUUCGAAGAUGCAGCUAGUCGAGCGACUAGCUCAACUGAUGCGCCGUAUUUUCGACACAUUUAUUCUCAGUAUAAACUAUAUUUUUGUGUAUCAAAAUGUAUUCCAAUUCAGGAUAUUGAGUACAUGUUUGGUUCUCUUGCCCCUUGUGGUCUUGUUAUGGUUUUUGGUAAGUUUUUGGUACAUUUCAGGUGCCAUAUGACGUUUAGAGAUAACCAUGACAUGACGGGGAGGCCGGAACAACUCAAAACGUUCGACAUGGGAAGAAAACGUCAUUUUUUAGUAUUUUGAGCAUAACUCAUCACUCGGAAGUCCAAUUGAUGCAAGAUUAGUGGAAUUGAAAAGAUAAUUUGAUUGUCUAAAACUUUUAUGUUGACGCUAUUGUAAAAUAUCGUAUAAUUAAGAAACACGGCGUAUUCCACCCCCAGAGGGGUUUUCAAGUC
rnacentral:lncRNA from 1 species